UCGUGCUUUUAUAAAGUGUAUUUUGUGAUAACUGAAAUGUUCCGGACGUGAAUACGAUAUUUAUUUAUGGACAGACAUUGGCGCAGAUGGACAGACCUGGCGGUGGUGAUCCGGCUGGACAUGACCAGCAAGGAUUCUCGCAGAACUGGCAGUUUCGCAGCACGAUCAAAUAUCUUAUGAUUCGCGAUAUGGCUUUCCGGGUGCCUAGGAAUCAAUGAUGAACUUGACCUUUUCCCAUGCCCGCGGUGUCAACAAAGACAUGGACGUUAUUGUGGUGGAUUCAUGCCCCAAAUCUUCCGGAUCACGAUAUGAACCGGGCACCAAGCCUUCAAAGAGCAGACGGUUGAGAGAUAGCGUGUAAUCGUUCCAAUGUCAGCCAGCGUUUAGAACAGGCGAUACGAAACAAAGAACUAUUCAUUACAUUCAACGCAGAUAAGAAUCGCUACUUCCGCCAAGACGGUAUCGAUGUACACACCGAUGGAAACAUUUUCCCCUCACAAACGGUCGUCGAUGGUACAGAAGGUGCAGGGCGUCUACGAAGAUCAGACAAUCCAGGUGGUGCCGGUCACAUCUUCGCGCACCCGUCAAGGGCCUUUCACGGGUCAACAGCGUUAGCUAUUGUGUUCACGUGAAAACCCAGAUCCCAAGUCUCAACCAAGCUAAGCAACAAGCACAAAGUAAUGAUAAAGGCGUACGCAGAAUUGGAAGAAGAUGGUCCCGGUCAAAUCGUUCCUUGGUGACGAAGAAAGUGAAUUGAUCGAGAACGAAAUCACUCAGUGCCCGAAUGAUGAUGAAUUUAUCGUCUACCAAC